GGUUAAAAAGCUCGUAGUUGGAUUUCUGUUGAGGAUGACCGGUCCGCUCUUUGAGCGCGUAUCUGGUUCAGCCUUGGCAUCCUCUUGGGGAACGCUACUGUGCUUGAUUGCAUGGGGCGGUAUUCAAGACUUUUACUUUGAGGAAAUUAGAGUGUUCACUGCAAGCGUUAGCAAUUGAAUACAUUAGCAUGGAAUAAUAAUAUAGGACCUUGGUACUAUUUUGUUGGUUUCUAGAACUAAGGUAAUGAUUAAUAGGGACAAUUGGGGGCAUUCGUAUUAACGCGUCAGAGGUGGAAUUCUUGGAUUGCGUUACGACGAACUACUGCGAAAGCAUUUGCCAAGGAUGUUUUCAUUGAUCAAGAACGAAAGUAUGGGGAUCGAAGACGCUUAGAUACCGUCGUAGUCUAUACCAUAAACUAUGCCAACUAGAGAUUGGAGGUCGUUCUCUUUAUGACUCCUUCAGCACCUUAUGAGAAAUCAAAGUCUUUGGGUUCCGGGGGGAGUAUGGUCGCAAGGCUGAAACUUAAAGGAAUUGACGGAAGGGCACCACCAGGAGUGGAGCCUGCGGCUUAAUUUGACUCAACACGGGAAAACUUACCAGGUCCAGACAUAGUAAGGAUUGACAGAUUGAUAGCUCUUUCUGGAUUCUAUGGGUGGUGGUGCAU
rnacentral:rRNA from 1 species